rnacentral:rRNA from 1 species
GAUGAACGCUGGCGGCGUGCUUAACACAUGCAAGUUGAACGAAGUGGCGGAUGGGCGAGUAACACGUGAGGAACCUGCCUUUCACAGGGGAAUAACACUGGGAAACCAGUGCUAAUACCGCAUAGUUAACGAUUGCCUCGCGCCAGAUUAGCUAGUAGGUGAGGUAAAGGCUCACCUAGGUGAUGAUCCGUAGCCGGACGGAAUGUUGAUCGGCCGCAUGGGGACUGAGAGACGGCCGAGACUCCUAAGGGAGGCAGCAGUGGGGAAUAUUGGGCAAUGGCGAAAGCCUGACGCAGCAACGCCGAGUGAAGGAAGACGGUCUUCGGAUUGUAAACUUCUUUAGACAGGGACGCGGUACCUGUAGAAUAAGCCACGGCUAACUACGUGCCAGCAGCCGCGGUAAUAC